ensembl:snRNA U6 U6 spliceosomal RNA
AUGCACUUCUUUUCCCUGCAUUCACUACAAAAAUUGGGGAAAAAAUACAGAGAUUAGCAUGGCCCCCAUAUAAGGAUAGCAAGCAAAUUUAUGAAGCAUCCCAUGUAUUU